AUUGAACGCUGGCGGCAUGCCUUACACAUGCAAGUCGAACGGUAACAGGCCACAAGGUGCUGACGAGUGGCGAACGGGUGAGUAAUGCAUCGGAACGUGCCCAGUAGUGGGGGAUAGCCCGGCGAAAGCCGGAUUAAUACCGCAUACGACCUGAGGGUGAAAGGGGGGGAUCGCAAGACCUCUCGCUAUUGGAGCGGCCGAUGUCAGAGUAGCUAGUUGGUGGGGUAAAGGCCUACCAAGGCAACGAUCUGUAGUUGGUCUGAGAGGACGACCAGCCACACUGGGACUGAGACACGGCCCAGACUCCUACGGGAGGCAGCAGUGGGGAAUUUUGGACAAUGGGCGCAAGCCUGAUCCAGCAAUGCCGCGUGCAGGAAGAAGGCCUUCGGGUUGUAAACUGCUUUUGUCAGGGAAGAAAUCCUCUAGGUUAGUACCCUUGGGGGGAUGACGGUACCUGAAGAAUAAGCACCGGCUAACUACGUGCCAGCCGCCGCGGUAAAAC
rnacentral:rRNA from 1 species